rnacentral:lncRNA from 1 species
UUCAGAGUCCAAUUCGCAUGAAUCAAGCCUGAUUCGCCCACAUGUGAACACGUCCUAAAAGGCAAUCAAUCCAGCUUCAAUCAAAAUUUGGAACGCUCACGAACUUGUCACGCCCUCAGUUCUGCACUUCAGCCGUUUCCUCCGUUUACUCACGGUGCGCUAUUACUUUGCCAUUUCGAGUGGCUCCGGUCUGCGGCCCCCAUCCCACUUUAAUCAGCUGGGAUCGAUCCGUCCCCCAACGCCGGCUUCCGAACCCCUGGGGCCACCGGCAGCAUCUGAAUCAACAUCACACAUACUGAAGGCUGCAAAGAUUAGGGAUUGGGGUCGGGUACCGGUCGGGCCGAAUUUAGGAUGCGGUGAGAAGGGCCAGGAUUAGGAUACAAAGUUGAUGCCAGGUUUAGAAUGAGGACCCCGAGUGUAGGAUUAGGAUUAGGAUUGGGAUUGCCCGGGUCCCACUGGCCAGGAUUAGGAUUGGGAUACUGCAGCGGGAUGUGGAUUACAACCAACAGCCCCUAGGAUAUGGUUAAGACCACCAUCCUGGUAUUAGGAGUGGUCCAACCGGCUUCGGCUGGUCCGCAAGUUUUAAGCCUUGGGUCCGGAGCGGCGGUAAGAUGCUUGCAUUUAUGACAGGGAAAAUUAUUGGCUACUCUUGCGUCUUACUGCGGUCUCCAAUGCGCGUGGGCGAUUUACGCCCUGUUCAUCUGCCUACUUGCAUCGCGGCUGAUCUCCUUCUCCUUAGGUUUAGAUUAAUUAGAUGUAAACCACUGAUUCCCGGUUGUCCUGAAUGUGCGAUCAUUCUGAUGCGUUUCCGUACCGCUGUCGUGCCCAGGUCGAUGGCUUUACCUUUCUUGGCACUGACGCGACUAGCUCCGCGCAGCCUUCCUUUGUUCCUGGAUGGGGCUUACGUGGCGUG